rnacentral:lncRNA from 1 species
GCCUGCAGCCAUAGAAAUCACCUGGUUGGAGCAUCUUACCUGUCUUUCAAACCGAAGUCCUGCAGUCAUGAAACUUGUUUUUUUCCACCUUUUUGCUGCGCUGGUGGUUACAAGUGAGUCCAGUAGAAUAUGUCAGUUUGCAGCAGUAGAGACCUUUGUUUAGGGCAUGAUGGCAUACAUUCUUGGCUUUCGUUAUACUUAAGAGUAGGCCCUCUGAAAUCUAUGGGACUUCGUUAAGUCACGGCUAAAGUCUGCAUGAUUACAAUGAGUAUGCUUUGAUUGCAGUAAUUAAGAGAGCAUUAAUUACAGUGAGUAUAGUCAGUAAUCUCAAGUUACAGGAAGUACUGUACUUCAAUGCAAGGUAUCUGGGAAUGGUUUCGUUUUGAAUGGACGAUUAAGAGCCAUUGGCUUUACAAAAGACCUGCUCCUCAUUUACAGCUGUGGACUGAUCCAGCUGUCUGUUGGGGUUAGGUGGACAGGAAAAUAGGCUGGCUAUGUGGGCUGUCAUUAUGACCUCCCUUGCCAAAAUAGGAAAUAUUCUGGAUAAGAUACAAUGGAUCUUACGAGCAAAGAUGUGGGUUUUAGCUACACUUCAUUUUGGGGGAUUUGGGUCAAUUUUGAUUUUAAAAAAACAAACCCAAAAUGAAAUAAACUUCUAGCCUGUUCUUAGAAACUGUUCUAUUCCAUUUCCUCUUAUUUUCAAACCCUACAAUUUUUGAUAAUUCUGAUUUUAAAAACAAAAGGUAAAUCAGACUCACCCAUACUUUGAAAACAGUGACCAUAUAAAAAGUCAGUGUGGUUAGUGAGGCCGGGACAAUUGUGCUGAUAUGAUGAGCAGGGGAAAAUGUUUUGCUGUGCUUUGAAUUAUUUGAUGGUAGAAUUCUUUUAAUGAAUUGAAAAAAUAAUAAUAAUGAAAUACCUAACAUAUGUGUUUCCCUCAAUCUCUCUCUUCCCCUACUCACCCUCUUUUAGCAUAUGCGUUGGUUUGUGACUGCACCAAAGGGCCCGGGUGCAAUUCGGAUGGGACCUGCUCCGUUCCAGAGCUAACUGGUGUCUGCCUGACAAUGGCCCACGAGAACAACCUGGCAGGGACCAAAACAUCAGGGCUGUACAAAGCCUGCCAAUACGAUGCCCAAGCUUGCAGCGAAAAGGUCAUGUCAAUUACGGCAGAAAAAGGACUGUUUUGGAGGAGCAACACUGCAUGUUGCAAUCAAGACAACUGCAACACUGCUUCCAUCAGGGUCCCACCUAAGAACCUCACGCAGAAUGCCCAGAGAUGCCCUGCGUGUUUUACUUUUGCUUCCGAUCGCUGUGAAAAUACAGAGAGGCUGAGUUGCACAGGAGCCGAGAGUCACUGCAUCACUGUGUCCGGGAUGCUGAGUGCAGGUAAGAAGACUCUUUCUCUAAUAGUGGAGGUUCCAUUUGUUUCCUUCAUACGUUGUUGUUGUUGUUUAGUCAUGUCCGGCUCUUUGUGAUCCCAUGGACCAGAGCACGCCAGGCCUUCCUGUCUUCCACUGCCUCCUAGAGUUGGGUCAGAUUCACGUUGGUCGCUUCGAUGACACUGUCCAAC